UAGCGCUUGCUAAAAAUAAAGUCGCAACUGGAUUAGUUUAGUAGCUUCUUUUAAGUGAAAAACUGAUAGACAAAAAUAAG
rnacentral:ncRNA from 1 species